AGUGAACGCUGGCGGUAGGCCUAACACAUGCAAGUCGAACGGCAGCACAGUAAGAGCUUGCUCUUACGGGUGGCGAGUGGCGGACGGGUGAGGAAUACAUCGGAAUCUACUUUUUCGUGGGGGAUAACGUAGGGAAACUUACGCUAAUACCGCAUACGACCUACGGGUGAAAGCAGGGGAUCUUCGGACCUUGCGCGAUUGAAUGAGCCGAUGUCGGAUUAGCUAGUUGGCGGGGUAAAGGCCCACCAAGGCGACGAUCCGUAGCUGGUCUGAGAGGAUGAUCAGCCACACUGGAACUGAGACACGGUCCAGACUCCUACGGGAGGCAGCAGUGGGGAAUAUUGGACAAUGGGCGCAAGCCUGAUCCAGCCAUACUGCGUGGGUGAAGAAGGCCUUCGGGAUGUAAAGCCCUUUUGUUGGGAAAGAAAAGCAGCAGGUUAAUACCCCGCUGUUCUGACGGUACCCAAAGAAUAAGCACCGGCUAACUUCGUG
rnacentral:rRNA from 1 species